UACGUAGGGCGCAAGCGUUAUCCGGAAUUAUUGGGCGUAAAGAGCUCGUAGGCGGUUUGUCGCGUCUGCCGUGAAAGUCCGGGGCUCAACUCCGGAUCUGCGGGUGGGUACGGGCAGACUAGAGUGAUGUAGGGGAGACUGGAAUUCCUGGUGUAGCGGUGAAAUGCGCAGAUAUCAGGAGGAACACCGAUGGCGAAGGCAGGUCUCGUGGGCAUUAACUGACGCUGGAGGCGCGAAAGCUAGGGGAGCAAACGGG
rnacentral:rRNA from 1 species